rnacentral:pre_miRNA from 1 species
AAAAAGACAAACCAUGAUUUCCGUGCCUAACGUUUGACCGUCCGUCUUAUUUAAAAAAUUAUGAAAAAAAAUUAAAAAGACAAGUCACGCAUAAAAUAUUAAUCAUGUUUUAUCAUCUAACAAUAAUGAAAAUACGAAUUAUAAAAAAAAUUUAUAUAAGACGGACAGUUAAAGUUGGAUACGAAAACCCAGGGUUUGCCUUUUU